GCCACCGUAGCUUAGCCCGGUAUAGCGGCUGAUUCGUAAUCAGCAGAUCGGGGGUUCAAAUCCCCCCGGUGGCUCCA
rnacentral:tRNA from 1 species